rnacentral:rRNA from 1 species
UACGUAGGGUGCGAGCGUUAAUCGGAAUUACUGGGCGUAAAGCGUGCGCAGGCGGCUUUGCAAGACAGAUGUGAAAUCCCCGGGCUCAACCUGGGAACUGCAUUUGUGACUGCAAGGCUAGAGUACGGCAGAGGGGGAUGGAAUUCCGCGUGUAGCAGUGAAAUGCGUAGAUAUGCGGAGGAACACCAAUGGCGAAGGCAAUCCCCUGGGCCGGAACUGACGCUCAUGCACGAAAGCGUGGGGAGCAAACAGG